rnacentral:lncRNA from 1 species
UGGAUGCAGAGUGGCAAAAGGGAUAUUCCAUACCAUAUGGCAUCGUAUUUAGCAAUAAAAGCUGGUGGAAAGAGGAAGGACGGAGAGGCAUUUGGACUGAUGGCAUUUGUCUUUUCAAGAAACCAUUACAUGUGAUUCUCUCCCUGAUCCAACCUGGCAGAGUGAGUGAGCAGCUGUGUGGUGCUGAGCUGUCUGCUGGGGUCAAACCACAACAAUACCAUCAUCCUUACUAUUAAAUCCUGUGCAUUGGCUCUGUAGUCUGUAUUUCAACUUAGACAUUUCAUAGUGAUCAUUGUAGUGCUGCUUUUCUCACAGUAUCUCAGACUUUGUUGCAUCACUUUAUAUUUGAA